CGAGACUAGCUUGAGCAAGAGCAAGAGCAAGAGCAAGAGACAGAGAAAGAAGAGCUGAGUGUGGACAGACUGGGGUUCUCGUUCUACACCUCACAGGACUCUGACUCUGUCUCCCCUGGCCUCGGUCUGCCACAGGGGCAGCUCCUUGCGAAGCCACCAACCUACUCGUCAGAAACGAAGCCGGGCAGGGGGCACCCUCCCAUGUGGAGAGGCUGCCUGAGGGUGGACAGGGACGCUUGUUCCUGCUAAGUGACGGGACAACCCCUGACUCUCAGCCUGGAGUGGCUGUUUGCAGAGCUUUUGCUGUUAUUAAUAAACUGACCUAACGUUUGCUGGGGCCCUGGCGGGAAAGCUCAUGAACUCAUCAUUUCCUGGAAGGUGGGAGGGACUGGCUCAUCCCGCACACCAGGAAGCGGGUCUGCUGCCUCGCCCAAGGGCAGGAAUGACUUGGCCCAAUGUCCACGGUGCUGGGGGGACCCUGGCCCAGAGCCCGCCCGGGAGUAACAGCUCCCUACUCCUCAGUGAAACAUGACAUUAAAACACAGCAACAAUAAAUACAUGUGUGUGACUUUAACAUACUUUUUAAACUAAAAAACAAAAUAUAAGCUCUGCGUCAAGACAAGAAGAAUGUAGAGGAAAAAGCCACAACUUGCAGGUGACAAAAGGGAGAGAAAUCCAAGUGAGACUGACCCCGAGUGGCAAGGAGGCUGACAACCCCGAGACCAGGGCAUGCGGCUUCCGACAAAGUCAUCCCAUCCAUCUGGCUGGAGGGAAAAGCCUUAUACCUGAGCCAAAACCUCCCGACCAGGAGAUGCUCUCUCCAUCCUUGCCUAACGAGGACGGCGCGCCCUCACGGCCUCAAAAGGAGCUAGACAGAGGCGCUCAUGUCCAAGGAGGGACAUCCAGUAUCCACUAUGUGGAAAAGUAAGUCGCAAAACAAUGUGUACAUCAGGCCUUUGUUGUUAAAUAAUAAUGAA